rnacentral:ncRNA from 1 species
AGAUAGACGUAGAUGAGGAGUAUUAAGAAAAACUGCGUAUAAAGAGAGCUGCCGUCUGGUGCAAGGCAGAUACGUAAGCUUCCCAACUCGCCUCGGAGUUCCCGAAUUGAACAGUUUUUUAACUUUAAGUAGAUUUGGGCGGGAUUUCCCGUUAUAGAAAAAUGAGUGCACAGAUAAAUAUCUGUGAAUUAGAGUGGUACCGCGGAAUUUAAGCCCUUUCGUCUCUGAA